rnacentral:rRNA from 1 species
AUGGAUGUUAUAGCCUUGGUAGGGAAGUAUGGCAAGCCAAAUGUAGUUCUCACAAUGACAUGCAAUCCAAACUGGGAUGAGAUCAAGAGCGAACUCUACCCUGGCCAGACACCUCGGGAUCGACCAGACCUUGUUGUCCGUAUAUUUAGGGCAAAACUAGAGGAACUCAAGGAGAAGUUGUUGAAAAAGGAUAUCCUGGGAAAGGUGCGGGCCUAUGUGUAUGUGGUGGAGUUUCAAAAGAGAGGCCUUCCCCAUGCACAUUCCCUGCCGAUCAUGGAAGGAAAAUACAAGCUCUCAUGUCCCGAGCAGUAUGGCUGUCUUAUCUUAGCCGAGCUCCUGAACAAGAAGAACUACCCAUAA